CCGGCGGGGGCUCGGAGGCCCGGAGCGCAUGGCGGGGACCCGGCGGCGCCAGCUUCCCCCGGCGCGCAGAGCCGGGAGGCGCGGACGAGGGGACCCCAGUCUUCUCUCCAGGUCCUUCUGAUUCAAACCCUUGCCACUCUACACCCAUCCCGGAGGGGCCAGAAGAGUGCCCCAGCUGAAGCCUUGCCCAAGACCUGCUUUGUUCAGUCUGUAAUGGUGGCCCACCUUGGAGUAGACCCUGACACCGCCUGGGCCACAGAGAACCACGUUCCUGGGAGAGGAUUCCAGAACCUUCCACAGGGGAGGAGUGAGCUUCUGGAGAUUGGGUCCUUGUGCUUUCUCCUGAAGACAUUGGACAGCAUCUCAGGUUUUCACCAGGGGCCAGUAGAAGGGCUCCCUGGGAGCAGGUUGAGGACAUGUGGAGAGAAGUGACAGGUAGGGAGGCCAGUUGUGCUGUAAGGAAAACCAGUGCAGGGAGGGCUGUCAACGCCGAGAGGGAGAAUGAAUGCAAGAAGCCAGAGGCAUCAGCACAGCCUGGCGGCAGGCACAGGCAGGGUUCAGGAGUCGGGCUCAGGUGCCUCCAGGUGAGGUGGACGCACAGAGGGGAUGGCCUCCAUAGCAGCACAUUUCCUCCUUUUAUGCACCGUUGCAUUUUCAGUUCUCUGUCAAUUUGGGAAGGAAAUGAUUUAAAAACACGUUUCCCAGCCAGAGUCAAUGGAACUGAGAUCCCCUGGGACCCUACCCCAGGCAGGGCAGGCCUCUGCAGUCUGAGCACCAGAGUGGGGUACUUUAAUAUACCUUAAAGGGCAGCAGGAAAGAAAGUGGGGUCCAGGCAGUAUGCCCUUGGCUUGUGCAGUGAGGAUUUGUGGUCAGUGGAGGCAGUAGCAGCUCUGCCAUAUUGAAUGCAGCCCAACAUGGGAACCACAUACCACAUGGAGUUCCAGAGGUGUUUUUUAAUUCCUCCCCUUCAGACUCCUACACAUAUGGUCAGGAUCUUUUCUGUUUUGUUUUUCAAAGGAUUGACCUUAAGAAACAUCGCCCUCUCCUCCGGUUACUCAAGAGGCAGGGAAAUUGCAAGUUCAAGGCCAGCUUGGGCAACUUAGCAAGAAUGUCUUAAAAUUUAAAAAAUGGAAAUGGCUGGGUUCAAUCCCCAGCCCUGCGAAUUAAUUCUACUAAUAGUGACCGUUCGUGGCUUCCUGUUUUCAUCCAGCGUUGUUCUCUCAAUCAGCACAGCCAUUCUCUGUCCUCCGAGGUGGGCGUCAUUCCUUGUCUACAGAAGCCAGGCUCAAAGAGUUAAACAGCUGGCCCCAGACCACCCAGCUGCUGAGGGGCAGAAAGGGAGGUCUGGGCCUGCCUCCAGCUUCCUGUUCCGCCUCUGCAGAGCCUCACAAGGAUGGCUCGGGAAGAGUGACCAGCGGCAGCAGAGGACAGGCGUGUGCUGAUGGUGUUCUGGUUGUUUGGGUCUUUUCACAUGAUGUGUCCCAGACAAGGUGUAAGCCAACAGCGAAGGUCCUCAGCUCGAAGGAGUGUGAAAACAAGGAGGAAGAGUAGAGUCAGGACUGCCCAGACUCCGGGAGGCAACGGAAGCACGGACCCUUCCUUGUGCAUUGAGGACCUGGUGACUUCUCAAUUUGGAUUCAGCUUCAUGAAAGGGGCCAUGAAGUGUGGUUCCUGGACCUGGGACACUGAAGCAGGGUCAGGCAGGUGGCCUUGGGUUACUAAGGGACCCUGUGUACAUCCUAAAUGUGACAGCGGGUGACUGGAGAUCUCCGCUGCUCUGCCUGCAGGUCUAGCCACACUUGUGACCUGGUAUACUGCAGUGCUGGUUGACAUUCUGCUCUUGGCCAAAACGUCUUUACCAUUCUCUAAAGGGACGACAGAUGUUCAGCCUCCUCUUGGAGUUGUGCCCUCACUUCUGUGACAGUCAGGUUCAUGACAGUUGGGUGCCAUGCUCCCCACCCAUGAGUCAUCCCAUAUGCAACAGCCUCUUCCAUGCCCAGCUUGAAUUCUGCUUCAAUUCUGUGUGAAUUAAGCUCCUAGUCCCACCACGCUGGCCAUGAGCAACACUGUGGUGGAGAAAGCACGUAAGAACCUUAGGAGCAGCAGGGUACAGACAGCUCCAGUAGCAAGAAGUCAAAUAGUCCAAAAAUGUUUGUGCUCCCCCAAAUGUCACUCAUCCAUUGCCAGGUAGAUUCCACAGCUGAGGGCAUGACCCAGUACUUGGCUUCUGCAGAUGACAUUUUCCAAAUGAAAGCCUCAGAGUCACCAUGGAUUUUCUUUACAGAUACCUCUGCACCUUCAGGAGACUUGCAGGUUGCCUGGCAACCAGAGGAGGCCGGUCACGACUAGAUGCUUCAGCACCCAGCUUAGGCCACUGGCCUGGCAGACUCCCCUGAGAGCCGUGCCUGUGUCCACAGGCUGCAUCAUCAGGCAUAGAGACUUGGAGUAGCCCCAAAUGGCACCUGUCCGUCUUCUAGUCAAAAGAAGGGCAGAACAGCUGAGUUUCAGCUGUCAGUACACUUUGGACAGCUUCUUCUGGGCCUGUUGCCACAGAGAUUCUAGGGUAGGUCCGGGUUUCCUGCCAAGCCAAGCGCACAGGCUCCUGCUGUGAGAAGGCGGAUGACAAGGGGCGGGGGCUGCGGUGCUCACCCAGCCCUCCCAGCUGUGGGCUGCUUCUCUCUUCCCUCCCUCAUCUUACUCCAAGGCAUGGUCUCCUCCCUGUCCUCGCCACCACCCCUAGCUCCUCAUGCUGUGCUUACAAUGGGAACCUCCUCUCCACCCCAAGCAAUGCCUGUGCCUCUCUCUGGCACCACCUGACCCCAUGCUGAGGGCCCUUGGGGUCCCUGCCUAUGCUCCACUCCACAGGUGUUGUGCCUGUCUGAAGGUCAAGCCUCCCUGGGACCCGUGUGCUGCGGCCUCUCCUCCCACAUCUUUGCACAGUCCUGUUCAUGGGGUGCCUCUGGGCCUGACGCAGUGCAUGGUCUCUGGUCAGUGCCAAGUCAGCCUUUGGCCUGUGGAAUUGAAGUAGGACCUGUACCUUCCACCAAGCUACUGUCUGCGAUUCCGGGCCCCCAAAAGAUGAACCUGGGCUGCCUGCAAGGUUGGGCAAGCUCAGAAGAAUCAGCCCUUUCCCCAUCCUGUUCCCAGCAUGCACCCAGAGAUUGGGCUUUCCUUACGGCUGGUCACACAGAUGUCGACAUGGUGCUCAGAGCCUCAGAGCACAGGUGAGCCGAUGUCAGUAACAGCAGUGGAGCCUCCUAGCUGUGCUGGUGCGUCCAAGUGUCAUCCCAUUGACUCUUAACUAUCUUGAAAAAGAUACUAUUCCCAUCCCACACAUAAAUAAAUAAAUGAUAAAUAAAACUA